rnacentral:rRNA from 1 species
AGUGAACGCUGGCGGUAGGCCUAACACAUGCAAGUCGAACGGCAGCACAGUAAGAGCUUGCUCUUACGGGUGGCGAGUGGCGGACGGGUGAGGAAUACAUCGGAAUCUACUUUUUCGGGGGGGAUAACGUAGGGAAACUUACGCUAAUACCGCAUACGACCUACGGGGGAAAGCAGGGGAUAGUCGGACCUUGCGCGAAUGAAUGAGCCGAUGUCGGAUUAGCUAGUUGGCGGGGGAAAGGCCCAGCAAGGCGACGAUCCGUAGCUGGUCUGAGAGGAUGAUAGGCCACACUGGAACUGAGCCACGGUCCAGACUCCUACGGGAGGCCGCAGUGGGGAAUAUUGGACAAUGGGCGCAAGCCUGAUCCAGCCAUACCGCGUGGGUGACGAAGGCCUUCGGGUUGUAAAGCCCUUUUGUUGGGAAAGAACAGCAGCAGGUUAAUACCCCGCUGUUCUGACGGUACCCAAAGAAUAAGCACCGGCUAACUUCGUG